rnacentral:sRNA from 1 species
UCACAAUGAUUGCUGUUCUACACUAUUCUAUACUGUCAUAUGUCAUUGAAGUUAAAUACUGCUUAUUUAUAUGAUCUUGGUGAAAUAUGUAAGUACAGCCACUCAAUUCAUCAAACAUCUAAUCUUUUUCAUUGCAAAAAGCAGCUGUAAUAUUAGUACAGUUGCUUUGCCCACUGAACAGUCAUCAUAUUGAGCUGUAUUUUUUUUUUUAAAAAAAUGGAGAUCUAUACAAAAAGAACAAGUACACACAGCCACACUGAACAGGCCCUUAUUGUUACUACUCAACGAACCUUCAAAUGUAUCCGUCCAUUCACUUUUUCUUUCCGAGUGAGCCAAUGUGUGCGACGCAGCUCUGCAUUCUAUUAUUAAUCCGAUAUUCAGAUGGAAUCCCAUUCUUAGACGGAUACAACGACCGUGCAGAACCUCUGUAGAGCUGUCUGCAUCUGAUGAAUCUGACAUAUAACCAGGAAAAUAGAAUGAAAAAGGACCGGGAUAAAAUGAUGUAGCCCACAAAACAAAACUCAUAUCCAUACAACAGCAAUGUUUCGAAUGUGUUCACCUGCUCAUAAUGUAUAGGAAAACAGGAAAGAAUUGUUAAAAUGCAACAAGGAAAUGCAACAAGCAAAUGCAAUAUACAUGUUGAUGGCUUGUCUUACAUCACACUAUUGUUUUAUUUUGAAGAAGGAAUAAAGUGAAAAGGAAGAUGUGGCUGUUAUGCAUCGAAAAGUAAAAGUAGAAAAAGUAGAAAAAUGUAAAAAAAUAGAUAUAGAAAGGCAAAUAACCAACCA